rnacentral:tRNA from 1 species
GGCCGGUUAGCUCAGUGGUUUGAGCAUGGCGCUGACAACAAUGACCAAUACCAAGGCUGCGGGUUUGAUUCCCGCUCAGUCCC